AUGAAGAGAAAAUUCCCCAGAUCGAAAGUGAAAGCGAUCAUCAAAAAGACCCAACCGAAUGUUCGUUUGGGUAAAAAUGCGGAUUUAUUGAUCUUUCUGGAUUACAUGAUGUUCAUCAGACGGUUGGCAGUGAAGGGGAACAUUGCAGCUCAAGAGCAGAAGGAGAACACACUCACUGCAGCUCACAUCAGCUCUGUUCUUAAGGAUGUACUCAAAGAAAUGAGAGGAUAGCAUAGACUCUACCAGCAUCAUGAGCAUUUGCCAUCCUGUGGUGUUGAUCACGUACAUG